rnacentral:rRNA from 1 species
GACGAACGCUGGCGGCGUGCCUAAUACAUGCAAGUCGAGCGGAUUUUUGGGAGCUUGCUCCCAAAAAUUAGCGGCGGACGGGUGAGUAACACGUGGGCAACCUGCCUAUAAGACUGGGAUAACUUCGGGAAACCGGAGCUAAUACCGGAUAAUUCCUUUCCUCUCAUGAGGGAAGGCUGAAAGACGGUUUCGGCUGUCGCUUAUAGAUGGGCCCGCGGCGCAUUAGCUAGUUGGUGAGGUAACGGCUCACCAAGGCAACGAUGCGUAGCCGACCUGAGAGGGUGAUCGGCCACACUGGGACUGAGACACGGCCCAGACACCUACGGGUGGCAG